rnacentral:sRNA from 2 species
CCCAUCUGCCAUCUCUCCCCAAGAUCCACGCAUCCAAGCAUCCCCACAUCUCCCCAAAUCUCUCCAACGAUCCCACAUGGAGCCAGGCCGGCCGCUGAUUGGCCCCGGGCCACACGCGGUUGCCGGCCUGGUUGGCUAACCCAUAGCUGCCUUCCAGGGUUCAUCCUCUGGAUGCGUUGGGAUGUAUCCACCUUUGGGGAGUCGCGAUCAAUACCUACCCACGGCAGCCUAUAGUGACAAAUGUGUCAAAUGGGUUUUUUUGAUGUUUUCCACUGUAAUUACUUAAUUCCACUUACAGACACUCAUUGAUAGAAAUUUUAUACUAGAAAGC